AGGGAUGCAGCUCAGUAGGUAGAGUGUAUGCCUAGGAGGCAGGAAGGUAUGGGUUCAAUCCCCAGCAUCUCAG
rnacentral:tRNA from 1 species